rnacentral:misc_RNA from 1 species
AAAAUGAAACCGGACCGAGGUGAGACCAGCGUAGUUGGUAGAGGUUCCGCCUCCCGAAACGUGCUACGCCCUCACCGAGCGAAGGGAGAACUCAUACCCUUGAAUACUUACUAUUUUGCUUUGGCAGGCCGCCUCACGGCGUGGGCCCCGGCCCGCAGUGCCUGCCAGAGGACCACAACUCUGUUUUUAGUGAUGUCUGAGUACUAUAUAAUAGUUA